UUUAAAAUCAUGCAUUCUUUAUUAAUUCAUCACACAAAUACAGGGAAAACUGCCAAGAUAGCCAGGAGGGUGGGGGAGGAGGGAAGGACAAGGCCACACUGCACUU